UUGUGUUGUCAUGGUCUUUGUUGACUGUUCAUAUAACCCCAGCAAUUGCUUUGCAGCUUAUGCGGGAGAUAUAUAACGGUCAACAGAAACCUUUGACAUCAAAGA
rnacentral:pre_miRNA from 1 species